AGCGGAGUGGAGCAGUUGGUAGCUCGCUGGGCUCAUAUCCCAGAGGCCGCGGGUUCGAGCCCCGCCUUCGCCA
rnacentral:tRNA from 2 species